CCUACGGGUGGCAGCAGUGAGGAAUAUUGGUCAAUGGACGUAAGUCUGAACCAGCCAUGCCGCGUGCAGGAAGACGGCCCUAUGAGUUGUAAACUGCUUUUGUACGGGGGUAAACGCAGAUACGCGUAUCUGUCUGAAAGUAUCGUAUGAAUAAGGAUCGGCUAACUCCGUGCCAGCAGCCGCGGUAAUACGGAGGAUUCAAGCGUUAUCCGGAUUUAUUGGGUUUAAAGGGUGCGUAGGCGGUCGGAUAAGUUUGAGGUGAAAUCCCGAGGCUCAACCUCGGAAUUGCGUCUGAUACUGGUCGGCUAGAGAGUAGUUGAGGUAGGCGGAAUGCAUGGUGUAGCGGUGAAAUGCUUAGAGAUCAUAAAGAACACCGAUUGCGAAGGCAGCUUACCGAGCUACUUCUGACGCUGAGGCACGAAAGCGUGGGGAGCAAACAGGAUUAGAUACCCGAGUAGUC
rnacentral:rRNA from 1 species